rnacentral:lncRNA from 1 species
UGCGAACAGAAAGUUGAUAUUUCUUCUAUGAUGUAAGCCUCGACAAUAGAACCUUCAAUCGAUGCUCGAUUCUUUACCUUCUGCUUUAUAUCAUGCAUAAGCCUAUAAAUAAGAUUAAUAUGUUAAUUUCUCAAAUUUAAUAGAUAUAAAGAAACUAUUUAAUGGUUUUACAGAAAUUAUUACCUUUCAAAGGGGUACAUCCAUCUGUACUGCACGGGCCCCCCAACCUUAGCUUCAUAAGCUAGAUGAACAGGUAAGUGCUCCAUUGAGUCAAAAAAUGCAGGAGG